ACAAGUGAGAAAAGAUUUAAAAAAUGGCUACCAGCUUUUUUAAUUGCACAAAGCAAGACAAAAGAUAGAACAUGAAAGAGACAUGAUUAUGAGCAAAAAAAUGGCAUGCAGAAAGUUUUGUCAAACAGAGAAGUCAGGAAACUCAUGGAAAUAUCAAGGUUCAAAGGAUCUAUUUGAGAAGCAUGGCAAAGUAGAGAUACUGUGUUUGUUUUAGUCACUCUUAAUAAUCUAAGCUCGGGUCAAUGAUUCAGCAAGUCAAUGAUAUAUGCUAAUGGUUAGAAGCAAGGUUAAAUGUGAGGAGGGCAAGAGUGAUCGUCGCGAAAGCUAAAACCACAAACCGGCUACCAUGUUUUAAACUCACAAGUUUUCUUUGAUGAAACAGGAAACAUAUUACCUUCAAAGCAGGGACUUCAGAGCAUAAACAUCAAUGGUUGCAAUGCUUCACUUUUACAAAUGCAAAAAGCAAUAUUGCUGCACAGGUUUGAUAUAAAAUCAUGAAGCCCGCCUGAAGAACCAGGGUGAUGAAAUUGCAAGUCAGGAGUCCGCCUGAAGAACAGGGUGAGGAAGAUGAAAGCCAAGCAACAAGGUAAAGAAAUUAAAAGUCGAAAAAUAGCAAGUCAGGAGCCCGCCCAAAGCAUAGGGUGAAUAAAUGAAAAGUCAAUCAACAAGGUGAAGAAGCUAAAAGUUAAACAACAAGGUGAAGAAAUUGAAAGUCAACAAAUGGAAAAAUAACAAGUCAGGAGCCCACCUGAAGAACAGGGUGAUGAAAUGGGAAAUUGAAGAAACUGCAAGUCAGGAACCCGCAUGAAGAAUAGGGUGAUGAAAUUGAAGUACAAAAAAUGGCAAGUCAGAAGCCCACCUGAAGAGCAAGGCGAAUAAAUGAAAGUCGAGCAAUGAAGUGAAGCAAUGGAAAACCAAGCAACAAGUUGAAGAAAUUGCAAGUCAGGGGCCCACCUGAAAAAUAGUGUGAUGAAGUAGCGAGUCAAGCGUCAAGGAAAGCUGCAUAGAUAGGAAUUUUGUAAUUUCAUUUAUAUUUUAACUUGUAAUUUUCAUUUUAAGGUAAUGACAGAGCCGCGGACCGGAACCUCGAUGGAACCUCAUUCGACUCUCCAACUUGAUUUAGUCCAUCUCCGUCCAAUCCUUUGAGAUAUCGAUCACUUGAUUCCCUCAUAACUUGGGUGGGUAGAAUGUCCAUCAAGACUAGGUUGCCCUUCUUCCUUCUGUUUCCUUCCUCGAAUAAUGAUCAGGAAAAAAUUCUGUUUCGUUGUCUACUUAUUUGAAUGAAAACACUUGGUGUUUACAUUCAAAGGAGGCAUGAUGAAGACACGUAAUUUUAUCCCGUUAAUAAUAUUUCUUACUCCAAUAUCACAUAAUUUAACCCCUUUUUUAUAAUUUUUUCCCAAGAAAAUAAAUAACCACCUCAUCUUUUAAUUAUUUAUGUAUUUAUUUUUUUGUUUUGUUUUAUUCAAAUAACAAGUCAUAACAAACUUUGUCUCAUUCUAAUAUUCCAACAAUCCACCCAAUAAAAAAUGGACACCUAACCCCUAGUCCUCCCAUUAAAAAAAAAAUCAACACCACCACCCCUAACCUCACCUACCCUACCCUACCCAUCACGUGACCCCUCCCCCUACCUACUUUCUUUACACGUUUAUUCCAAUUCUAUAUAUACAAAGGAGCAAAGGAAAAGCAAAGAAUGGAAACGCGGAGCCCACAUAAUUAUUCCAUUAGUUUUCCUUCUUGGAUUGUCAAUACAUACACCUAUAUGCAUAUGAAAAAUGAACCUGGACAGAAGGACAAAAAACAAGGGGGGCCCAUUAGGAACUUUCCAGGAAAUACUCCAUUCACACAGUACACAGAUAUCAUAUGUAUACACCAUUGUUUCUUUUCCUUCGGGGGAGACCUGGAGACACCAUCCUCUUCACUCAAAAUAUCGGCACACACAUACGCCCAAUCGCACACACACACACGCAAUCCUCGCCCUUCACAGCUCACUCAAAAUCGCACACUAAUCCGCACAUACCCAAAAAAAUGAAGCCGAUUGAGAGAGAGGGUGACGAAUAGAGAGAAAUAUAGUUAUUUUGGUUUCGGGUUUGUUGCCGGAUUUCGACAUUUUCCGUUAGCUUAUUCCCUUCACAGCUCACCGGAGCUUAGAUUUGGACUGAUUUUGAGCUCUCAGUUAGACUUCGGAGAUGUUAGUUCUCGUUUGCUCGUCAUUCGUCUUCCGAUAUCGUGCAUUUGAAGGUUUUUCAUACCGGGCCGGUCUGUUUUUCUGUUGCUAUUUUGUUGUGGUUUCAUCGGUCUUCGCUACUGAUUUGAAGAUUAGAAUCUCGUUCAUCUCGAAUCGUUAAUCGCGAUCAGUUUUUUGGUCUUCAAUCUUCGAUACCGAAUCUGGGAUUAUCGCAUUUUGGAUUAUUUCUCGACUGAUUUGGAGAGUCGAGAUUUCGUUGGUAUUCUUCGAGGUUCUUGAAUGGGCUCUUAUUUCUCUUAUUAAAUCAAUCGAAAGCUCCCGAGGUCCAAUUCUAACUUUUCUCUUUUUGAUUUUCUCGUAAUUACGAAUGAUUUAAACUUUUCUCUUUUUGAUUUUCUCGUAAUUACGAAUGAUUUGUAUGCUUAAAUGUUUGAAUCCUUGUUUGGGUAUGUGUUCAAUAUUGAUUUCGGAUUUGAAGAAAUAACUUGAUUGUCAAA